CAUGCACCAGUGGGGUCCCUCAGCUUGGCCUGCACCCUCUCGCAAUCCAGGACCCCUCAGGGGAUGUCAGCUGGUUUUGUCCUGAUCCCACAGGCCAGGCUGAGGGACCCCACUGGUGCACA
rnacentral:pre_miRNA from 1 species